AUGUAUAUCUGUGUGUAUAUGUUUAUAUAUGUAUGUAUAGAUUUACAUUUUUUUAACUUUAAGGGGCCUCACCUCCUGUGCCCUCUGAGGUCUUCGUCGGAGGAACAAGAAAAGGCGUCUGUUAUGCUCCUGUGCGAGGUGCCUCUCUGCAAGGCCUGUCCUUCACUCAGCAAAGCAAAAAGCCCUAAACGGCCAACCGGAGGGGACAGUGAAACAAAUGAUGGGGUGCCGUCCUGCAAAGCCUCUUUGGAAAGGAUGAGAGCCUGGGAACGGGAGCCCUGCCCUGCUGCCCAGGAACCACCAUGUGAUGGGGAGUCAUAAUGGUGAGAAUCGCCCCCUAGGGCUGAGGUGAGUGCUCCAAUGAGGCGAAGUGAGGUGAGGCUGGGGGAGCUUGGAGCAAGGCGCGUCCAGGUUUUAAUCGGAAUGCUGUGAGGAGCCACGGAAGGGCUUUGAGUAGCAGAGCGGCAGGACUAGAGUUCCUCUCCCUGUCUGGGCUGCUGACUUGGGCAGGGUGGCCAUGUACAGGUGUGCAGGUUGCUCAUGGCACGAAGGAAGAAUAAUUCACCAGAAGGUCCUGUAGGAGCAAAUGGUGACCCUGCGGGAAGAAGGAAUGGGAGGCACAGGCUAGUGGAGAGGAUGGAACCUAAUCAGAUAUUGGUGGAGUAGAGAGGUUCCCAGAGGGAAAGUGUGGUUGGGAGAGGAGCACACCAUGGUGGCCUGUGAGGGAGGGAUGGGCUUCACAAGGAAGAAAGAAAUAGGAUCUGAAGGAGCGAUCACGUGCUGUGUGCUGAGGGGAAAAGGGCUAUGAAGAAAAACAGGGUGAGGCUGGGGAGUGAAGGAAGGAGGGACGGGUGCUUGUUCAGGGGAGGCAUCUUUGGGGGGGUGACAUCAGAGCCGAGCCGAGUAGGUGGGAAUGCGCCACGCCAGUGGACGGGGACGGGUUUCCCCGCAGGCCGCAGAGGCGGUAACGUGUCUGGGUUCCGGGACGCGGAGAGCAGGCCGGGUGACGGGAUGUGAGGGGCAGGCAGGGUGCUGGAGGCCGCGGCAGGAGAGGCGGCCGGGCCGCGUUAGGCGGGUCUCGAUUUUUUCUAAGAGCAGUGAGCUGCUGUUGGAGGGUUUUAUUUUAAUAAACCUUUUAUUUUGAAAUGACUUCA
rnacentral:lncRNA from 1 species